rnacentral:lncRNA from 1 species
AAGUUUUUAUGUAGUAAAAUGCAUUUUGCCUAAACUCUAACCGUAUUAAUAUUAUUUAGGUUUAUAAAAUUCCAUCAACUUAUUAUUAUUAUUAUUAUUAUUAUUCUUGUUAAUUGUUGUUAGGGUGCAAAUUUUGUGUUUCUCGACGUUGUCAAGACAACAUGGAGUGUUUCUCGUAUGUUUUACAUUACCUUUCGAGCAAAAAAAGAUCUUCCCAACUGCUCUGCCAAAACUUUCCAGGCUCAAGUAUCGGAAAAUAUGAAUGGGCCAAAUGAGGUCAGAUCAUGCCAUUUAAAAAAAAGAAGAAAAAAAAGAGAGGUCAUAGUGUUCCCAUAAAACCUAACACAACACAAGGGUAAUAACCUUGCAUUAAUAUUAUGCAUACUUACAUGUUUAAUCCUUUCUUGUAGUUCCUUUGAAAUUCUAUUUGAUUUGUUUUGGUAUGUAUAAUAAGUUUUGAUAAUUACACGCAUCAGAAUGAAUGAUGAUAUAUAGGCUG